AGGGGUGUAAGCUAAUGGUAGACUGUCGCUCUCCAAAAGCGAAUGUGGGGGUUCAAUUCCCUCCACCCCUG
rnacentral:tRNA from 1 species